rnacentral:rRNA from 1 species
UACGUAGGGUGCAGGCGUUUAAUCGGAAUUACUGGGCGUAAAGCGUGCGCAGGCGGUCUUUUAAGUCAGAUGUGAAAUCCCCGGGCUUAACCUGGGAACUGCGUUUGAAACUGGAAGGCUUGAGUGUGGCAGAGGGGGGUGGAAUUCCACGUGUAGCAGUGAAAUGCGUAGAUAUGUGGAGGAACACCGAUGGCGAAGGCAGCCCCCUGGGCUAACACUGACGCUCAUGCACGAAAGCUAGGGGAGCGAAUGGG